rnacentral:rRNA from 1 species
CACAGACGGCGCGCCCCGGCGGUGGUGCUGAAGCUCGACUUCGCCAAAGCUUUUGACUCCAUCAACUGGGCAAGUUUGAGGACUAUCAUGGAGGUGCGGGGGUUCCCACCGCUCUGGUGCGCAUGGAUGGACUCCCUCUUCCACUCAUCGCGCUCGGCCGUCCUCCUCAACGGCGUGCCGGGGAGGUGGUUCCAGGUUGGCUGCGGCCUGCGGCAGGGGGAUCCGGUCUCCCCCUACCUCUUCAUCAUCGUCGCCGACGUCCUCCAAUGCCUCAUCCGCCAUGACGAUGUGCUUCGCCACCCCCUACUGCCGGACGCCCCGGCGGUGGUGCUUCAGUACGUCGACGACACCCUGAUUAUCAUGCGGGUGUGCGGGCGGGGGGCGGCGCGCCUCAAGCUACUUCUGGACCAGUUCGCAGAGGCCACCGGGCUAGUGAUUAACUUUGCCAAAAGCACCCUCGUCCUGAUGCACGCCGACGCCGACAUUGUGGAGCAGGUGGUGGCUGCCCUGGGAUGCGCCGCCGGCGUGUUCCCGCAGUCAUGCCUGGGGCUCCCUCUUUCAUGGGAAAAACUGCGCUUCGCCGACUUCUUGCCCAUGAUCGCGAAGGUGGACGUGUACCUUGCCAGAUGGGCUGCUCGCCUUCUCUCGCCCGCCCGGGCGGCUCGUCCUCAUAAACGCCGUCCUCGACGCCCUGCCUACCUAUGCCAUGGCAGCGCUGCUCCUGCCGCCUGCCGUCAUUCGUGCUCUAGAUGGACUCCGUCGCUCGUUCCUCUGGAACAUCGCUGA